rnacentral:rRNA from 1 species
AGUGAACGCUGGCGGUAGGCCUAACACAUGCAAGUCGAACGGCAGCACAGUAAGAGCUUGCUCUUACGGGUGGCGAGUGGCGGACGGGUGAGGAAUACAUCGGAAUCUACUUUUUCGUGGGGGAUAAUGUAGGGAAACUUACGCUAAUACCGCAUACGACCUACGGGUGAAAGCAGGGGAUCUUCGGACCUUGCGCGAUUGAAUGAGCCGAUGUCGGAUUAGCUAGUUGGCGGGGUAAAGGCCCACCAAGGCGACGAUCCGUAGCUGGUCUGAGAGGAUGAUCAGCCACACUGGAACUGAGACACGGUCCAGACUCCUACGGGAGGCAGCAGUGGGGAAUAUUGGACAAUGGGCGCAAGCCUGAUCCAGCCAUACCGCGUGGGUGAAGAAGGCCUUCGGGUUGUAAAGCCCUUUUGUUGGGAAAGAAAAGCAGCAGGUUAAUACCCCGCUGUUCUGACGGUACCCAAAGAAUAAGCAUCGGCUAACUUCGUG